rnacentral:rRNA from 1 species
UACAGAGGUCUCAAGCGUUGUUCGGAUUCAUUGGGCGUAAAGGGCGCGUAGGCUGCGGGGUAAGUCGGGUGUGAAAUCUCAGAGCUCAACUCUGAAAUUGCACUUGAUACUGCUCUGCUAGAGGACUGGAGAGGAGAUUGGAAUUCACGGUGUAGCAGUGAAAUGCGUAGAUAUCGUGAGGAAGACCAGUGGCGAAGGCGGAUCUCUGGACAGUUCCUGACGCUGAGGCGCGAAAGCUAGGGGAGCAAACGGG